AAGUGGAGAAGGGUUCCAUGUGAACAGCAGUUGAACAUGGGUCAGUCGGUCCUAAGGGAUGGGCGAACGCCGUUCCGAAGUGGGGCGAUGGCCUCCGUCGCCCCCGGCCGAUCGAAAGGGUCGGGUUCAGAUCCCCGAACCCGGAGUGGCGGAGAAGGCGCCGCGAGGCGUCCAGUGCGGUGACGCAAACGAACCCGGAGACGCGGCGGGGGCCCCGGGAAGAGUUCUCUUUCUUUGUGAAGGGCAGGGCGCCCUGGAAUGGGUCACCCCGAGAUAGGGGCCCGCGCCCUGGGCGCCGCGGUUCUGGCGGCGUCCGGUGAGCUCUCGCUGGCCCUUGAAAAUCCGGGGGAGAGGGUGUAAAUCUCGCGCCGGGCCGUACCCAUAUCCGCAGCAGGUCUCCAAGGUGAACAGCCUCUGGCAUGUUGGAACAAUGUAGGUAAGGGAAGUCGGCAAGUCAGAUCCGUAACUUCGGGAUAAGGAUUGGCUCU
rnacentral:rRNA from 1 species